rnacentral:rRNA from 1 species
AGGAAUAUUGGUCAAUGGACGAGAGUCUGAACCAGCCAAGUAGCGUGAAGGAUGACUGCCCUAUGGGUUGUAAACUUCUUUUAUACGGGAAUAAAGUGAGGCACGUGUGCCUUUUUGUAUGUACCGUAUGAAUAAGGAUCGGCUAACUCCGUGCCAGCAGCCGCGGUAAUACGGAGGAUCCGAGCGUUAUCCGGAUUUAUUGGGUUUAAAGGGAGCGUAGGCGGACGCUUAAGUCAGUUGUGAAAGUUUGCGGCUCAACCGUAAAAUUGCAGUUGAUACUGGGUGUCUUGAGUACAGUAGAGGCAGGCGGAAUUCGUGGUGUAGCGGUGAAAUGCUUAGAUAUCACGAAGAACUCCGAUUGCGAAGGCAGCUUGCUGGACUGUAACUGACGCUGAUGCUCGAAAGUGUGGGUAUCAAACAGGAUUAGAUACCCUGGUAGUCCACACAGUAAACGAUGAAUACUCGCUGUUUGCGAUAUACAGUAAGCGGCCAAGCGAAAGCGUUAAGUAUUCCACCUGGGGAGUACGCCGGCAACGGUGAAACUCAAAGGAAUUGACGGGGGCCCGCACAAGCGGAGGAACAUGUGGUUUAAUUCGAUGAUACGCGAGGAACCUUACCCGGGCUUGAAUUGCAACUGAAUGAUGUGGAGACAUGUCAGCCGCAAGGCAGUUGUGAAGGUGCUGCAUGGUUGUCGUCAGCUCGUGCCGUGAGGUGUCGGCUUAAGUGCCAUAACGAGCGCAACCCUUAUCGAUAGUUACCAUCAGGUUAUGCUGGGGACUCUGUCGAGACUGCCGUCGUAAGAUGUGAGGAAGGUGGGGAUGACGUCAAAUCAGCACGGCCCUUACGUCCGGGGCUACACACGUGUUACAAUGGGGGGUACAGAAGGCAGCUACCUGGUGACAGGAUGCUAAUCCCAAAAGCCUCUCUCAGUUCGGAUCGAAGUCUGCAACCCGACUUCGUGAAGCUGGAUUCGCUAGUAAUCGCGCAUCAGCCAUGGCGCGGUGAAUACGUUCCCG